ACUGAGGAGCGAAAGCUUGGGGAGCGAACAGGAUUAGAUACCCUGGUAGUCCACGCCGUAAACGGUGGGCACUAGUUGUGGGGACCUUCCACGGUCUCUGCGACGCAGCUAACGCAUUAAGUGCCCCGCCUGGGGAGUACGAUCGCAAGAUUAAAACUCAAAGGAAUUGACGGGGCCCCGCACAAGCAGCGGAGCAUGCGGCUUAAUUCGACGCAACGCGAAGAACCUUACCAAGGCUUGACAUAUACAGGAAUAUGGCAGAGAUGUCAUAGCCGCAAGGUCUGUAUACAGGUGGUGCAUGGUUGUCGUCAGCUCGUGUCGUGAGAUGUUGGGUUAAGUCCCGCAACGAGCGCAACCCUCGUUCUGUGUUGCCAGCAUUUAGUUGGGGACUCACAGGAGACUGCCGGGGUUAACUCGGAGGAAGGUGGGGAUGACGUCAAAUCAUCAUGCCCCUUAUGUCUUGGGCUGCACGCAUGCUACAAUGGCUGGUACAAACGGCUGCAAUACCGCAAGGUGGAGCGAAUCCGAGAAAGCCAGUCUCAGUUCGGAUUGGGGUCUGCAACUCGACCCCAUGAAGUCGGAGUUGCUAGUAAUCGUAGAUCAGCAACGCUACGGUGAUACGUUCCCGGGGCUUGUACACACCGCCCGUCACGUCACGAAAGUC
rnacentral:rRNA from 1 species